rnacentral:rRNA from 1 species
UACGUAGGGGGCAAGCGUUGUCCGGAUUUAUUGGGCGUAAAGAGCGUGUAGGCGGCCUGAAAGGUCAGCUGUGAAAACUCGAGGCUCAACCUCGAGCUGUCGGUGGAAACCGUGUGGCUAGAGUCCGGAAGAGGAGAGUGGAAUUCCCGGUGUAGCGGUGAAAUGCGCAGAUAUCGGGAAGAACACCCGUGGCGAAGGCGGCUCUCUGGGACGGUACUGACGCUGAGACGCGAAAGCGUGGGGAGCGAACAGG